GGAUUAGAUACCCUGGUAGUCCACGCCGUAAACGAUGAUAACUAGUUGUUGGGAGGCUUAGACCUCUUUGUGACGAAGCUAACGCGAUAAGUUAUCCGCCUGGGGAGUACGGUCGCAAGACUAAAACUCAAAGGAAUUGACGGGGGCCCGCACAAGCGGUGGAGCAUGUGGUUUAAUUCGAUGCAACGCGAAAAACCUUACCUGCCCUUGACAUCCUCAGAACUUGUUAGAGAUAACUUGGUGCCUUCGGGAAUUGAGUGACAGGUGCUGCAUGGCUGUCGUCAGCUCGUGUCG
rnacentral:rRNA from 1 species